GAUGAACGCUGGCGGCGUGCCUAAUACAUGCAAGUCGAGCGAACAGAUGAGGAGCUUGCUCCUCUGACGUUAGCGGCGGACGGGUGAGUAACACGCGGAUAACCUACCUAUAAGACUGGGAUAACUUCGGGAAACCGGAGCCAAUACCGGAUAAUAUAUUGAACCGCAUGGUUCAAUAGUGAAAGACGGUUUUGCUGUCACUUAUAGAUGGAUCCGCGCCGCAUUAGCUAGUUGGUAAGGUAACGGCUUACCAAGGCAACGAUGCGUAGCCGACCUGAGAGGGUGAUCGGCCACACUGGAACUGAGACACGGUCCAGACUCCUACGGGAGGCAGCAGUAGGGAAUCUUCCGCAAUGGGCGAAAGCCUGACGGAGCAACGCCGCGUGAGUGAUGAAGGUCUUCGGAUCGUAAAACUCUGUUAUUAGGGAAGAACAAAUGUGUAAGUAACUAUGCACGUCUUGACGGUACCUAAUCAGAAAGCCACGGCUAACUACGUG
rnacentral:rRNA from 1 species